rnacentral:rRNA from 1 species
UACGUAGGGGGCAAGCGUUAUCCGGAUUUACUGGGUGUAAAGGGAGCGUAGACGGCAGAGCAAGUCUGAAGUGAAAGCCCGCGGCCCAACUGCGGGACUGCUUUGGAAACUGCCCGGCUAGAGUGCUGGAGAGGUAAGCGGAAUCCCUAGUGUAGCGGUGAAAUGCGUAGAUAUUAGGAGGAACACCAGUGGCGAAGGCGGCUUACUGGACAGUAACUGACGUUGAGGCUCGAAAGCGUGGGGAGCAAACAGG